rnacentral:misc_RNA from 1 species
GGUAGCUUGGCGACACAAUGGGCAACUCUAAUGCCUUCCCUUCUGAUAUUGGAGAAAUAAACGGAAUCAUAUUGACGAGAGAGAUGCAAAAUCAUUUGAAUGGAUGCUUGAAUCUCCCAAUCUGCUGACAAAGGACCAAUUUUUAUUGCACAGACACCAAACCUUAUGUAAAUUUUGUAUUGUUAUUUGAGUAAUCCAUAUGAAAAAAAAGUUAAUUCUAAUUCUGGUCUUUGUAGCUGCCGCUGGGUUGCACAUGGAAACAUAGAAGUGGGCCUCAUGUAUGGAUUUGUGGCCUAUUAGGCUCAGGAGACCAACUCGUCUUUUCUUGCAGAAAACAAUUUGGAAGCGCUCAGAGCUGACUCAGAAAAUCGGUGUUGGAUUAGCCAGCAAUACUUGAGAAGAAGGAAAGAAUGGAAAUCUGAACGGUUUAACUAGGGUUUUAUUUAUUCAUUUUACUUUACUUUUCAAUACUCUGUAAGAACACAAGAAAUGUGGAGAAGCAAUUCGCUUGUUAGCAAGGGAUUGAGAUCCCACAGUUACCUGCGCAAGUCAUUGGCCUCCAGAACCAUCGCAACCCUCCCCUCGUCUACGUUAAUUCGGACCCAACACCUCUCUUCGUCCAACAAUCUUUACCGUCCUCUUUCUUCUCCGCUAUUCACCACCGCUAUACGUUUUCUCCGCACCGGCCGGGAUCCCAGCAUCAGUUAUGAGAUUACCCCGCCGAUGAACUGGGGCAUACGAAUCGUGCCGGAGAAGAAGGCCUACGUCAUUGAGCGAUUUGGAAAGUACGUUAAGACACUUCCAUCGGGAAUCCAUUUCUUGAUCCCAUUUGUGGAUAGAAUUGCUUAUGUUCAUUCCUUGAAAGAAGAGGCCAUUCCCAUUCCUGACCAAUCUGCUAUCACCAAGGAUAAUGUCAGUAUUCUCAUCGACGGUGUCCUUUAUGUCAAGAUUGUGGACCCUAAACUGGCCUCUUAUGGUGUGGAGAAUCCCAUCUAUGCUGUUAUUCAGCUUGCACAGACCACCAUGCGCAGUGAGCUCGGAAAGAUUACUCUGGACAAGACCUUUGAGGAAAGGGACACUCUUAAUGAAAAGAUUGUGGAGGCCAUCAAUGUGGCUGCAAAGGACUGGGGCCUCCAGUGCCUCCGUUAUGAAAUUAGUGAGACACGCUUAUCUCAUUUGACUCCCUUGCUUUGGUUCAUAGUCUUUGUAUUCUAUAUGCUUCACUGAAACUUUUUUUCUAGGGGAUAUUUCUCCACCUCGUGGAGUGAGAGCUGCAAUGGAGAUGCAGGCAGAAGCAGAACGUAAAAAGAGAGCUCAAGUUCUUGAAUCUGAAGGAGAAAGGCAGGCCAACAUUAAUAUUGCUGAUGGUAAGAAAGCUGCUGUGAUCUUGGCAUCAGAAGCUGCAAAAAUGGAUCAAGUUAACAGAGCACUAGGUGAGGCGGAUGCCAUCCUUGCUAAAGCACAAGCAACAGCCAAAGGACUUGCGCUGGUGUCAAAGGCCCUUAAAGAAACUGGGGGAGUAGAGGCAGCAAGUUUGAAAAUUGCUGAGCAAUAUAUUCAAGCCUUCGGUAAUAUUGCGAAGGAGGGGACAACAAUGUUGCUUCCUAGUGCUACUGCCAAUCCUGCUAAUAUAAUGGCUCAGGCGCUGACUAUGUACAAAAGCCUGCUUGGCAAUGUUUCAAGAGAUACUUCGCAUGAGUCAUCCUCAGAGUUGACAGAUGAUGUGGAGGACAUUGCUUCUGUAGGAGAAGCUAUGGAUAAGAGUACGACGUUCACAAGUACAGUUGAUACCAAUCUACUAUAUGAACCACGAUUUUCACUUCAGAGACCCAGGAAAGGAGAUUAAAUUUGUUUUCAAACAUGGAAGGACAUCAUGCUGAUCCACAAACUGAACAAGAUUUUUGCUAUUAGGUUUGUUAGUUGUCCUGUAUUACAUUAUUUCGGAUUUAAAUUCCCGAGUCCUUCAAAGAGAAGGACAAUAACCUUAGAAGUUGUGUCAUACGAGUAACUAAAGUUGUCAUUUUUGGUAACACAGAGGAAGACGCGAGGAGAACCAUUGAAAAAUGCUAUAGAAAUUGUCAUGGUUACCCACUUAAAACGGUGGAUAGAUAUUAAGUUUAUUAAAUAAAGCUAGAACAUUUGAGUGGGUUCUAUAUAUGUAGGUGAAUUAGCAGAGACACUACAACAUAGUUGCAUGGGAUUUGGCAAAUACAAAAUAAUAAAUACGCAUUCAUAUAGCAACAUGAUACCAAGGAAGGAAAUAUCUUAAAAGGGAAAAAAAAUAGAAAAUAAAACGAACCGUUAACUAUGUAUAUAUAAUUCGAGAAAAUAACGCAAGCAAAAACAGUAGCCGUUGAAUUCCAAGCAAGAGCUCAUAAUUCAAAAUUCUGAAAAAGAAGGAUAACCAGAGUUGUAUCUUAUUAAUGCAAAUUUUGGUUGCAGUUCAA